CCCUUCUGCAUCCCUUAAUGUUUCCCAGAGUUAGGAGUCACUUCUCAUGGUUUCUCUUCCUCUCUAAUUUUUCCCCACUCAGUUUCCCUCCUUUCCCUUGCAGUCCGGAUAAAUCAAUUUUGACAUUUACUUGAUUUUGUUUCUGUGAGAUCUGAUUAUUCUCUUCCUUUCACAUCUAUACCACUUCUAGUUUUUUGCACGCAUUAAAUAAAUAAGCCUUCUUUCUUGGAAUUACUAACUUAUUACAGUAUGUGAAGAAAAGGUGUGAAUUAGUUAAGAGUUGAAGAUUUAGUCAUACCAAAUAAUGGAGUCCAGAAAAUCCUUCAGGAACUCCAGCGUUUUGCCAAACCAUAAAGAUUAUCCCCUUCUUCCCUUUUUCUAAUUGAUACUUUUCCCCCACCAUCACCUUUUCAGCUUAAAUUCUUACUAGAAAAAUUUCACCAUUCUAACAACAGCAUCACCUUUAUACCUGAUUAAAAAUACAGAAUGUUUGGGCUAUACCCCCAGAGUAUAACUCCAGUGUUUGUGAAAAGGGAUCCUGGAAUCUGCAUAUCCAGCAAACAUCCAUUCAGAUGUUUUGGACCUCCUACUAGACACAUCUGGUAGAAUGGACUCAAUCCCAGGACCCCGGGACCACACUCUGAGCCAAAGACAGAUGCUCAACCACUGAGCCACCCAGGCGUACUGCUUUUCCUCUACUUUAAAAACACUCCUUGUUCACAGCAGCAGCUUUCUGUUGAUAAUGACAGUCAGCUGUGAAACCUUUUUCAAAUGCAAAUUUCCCAACUAUAUCCCAUACAUACAUUAAUCCUACCUGCAUUAUAGGUAUAUUAUAGGGAUAAUAUAUAUCCAGGGUUGUAGGGUGGGGCUCAGGAGCCUACAUUUUUUUAUUAUGAGCCAUGUUUGAGACUUGCUCCUUUGUAGCUCUUCCAGGUGCUUCUGCAUAUUUGGCUUAUGGGAAUCACACAUUACGUUCAAAAUAAGGCCAUACAUAAGACUAGUUUUGGCAAGUACUGAGCAGAAGUGACGUAUGUGUUUUAUACACAUAUGUGUCAAGAACAGCCUCUGUUUAAAAUCCAGGCAAUGUUUACCACUCCAGAUGCCUCUGCCCCUGCCUCAGCAAUGAAGGAUACUACGUGCUCCAGAUGGUACAGCUACUAGGUGGGAAUACCUGAGAAACUCUGUGGACCAGAACUCCUCCUCCCUAACCUCAACCUGAACUGGACCUGUAAUAUUGGCAAAAAACAGGUUGAGAAAGACACUAAUUACAGCAAGCCACCCAGGUUCAGGGGUUCAUUUGGCACUGUAGCAUAAGCUUAUCCUACUCUGACUGAUACAAGGGUGUUGCAAAUGCUUCCUUUACAUUUAUUUUUCCCAUAUAUACCAAAUUAAUAUAGGUUCACCCCACUAACUUAGAGUAGAGCACUCCUAUGAAACCUUUCAUCAGCCAAAAUGGUAUAAAGGGAAGAAGCAAUUACCAUUAAUUUAUAUGGAAAAAAUGUUAAGCAUUCCCAGAAUAAACAAAAAAACAAAAAAUCCAAACCUCUCUUUGGUUUUACUGAUAUCUUAGGACACAUCCUGCUAACGGAUGCACAAAAUAAAUCGAGAUAAAGAUGCUCAGAGACACAGUUCAAGGUAGGAUGGCUUGAUGCUGAGAUGCUGAGUGUAAUUCCACGGGGCAGGAGCUUGGCGGGCCUGCUCUCCCUGCUGGGGAUGAAUGCUACCUCUAUAAAGGCUUACUGCAAAACAUGUGCUUAAUGCUAUUCUCACUGUUGCCUUUUGUUCAUAGCAGCAAAAAUCUUCUUCGGAUUUCUUUUGGUUAUCAAAAAGAAGUACUGAUUACUGUAGGUAGGUCUUGUGUAAAGGUGAAGAAGUUUAAACCUACAGGGGGAUACCUGUACCUUGAAGAUUAGCUCAUUUAUGCUGUGACAUCAGUACAUUUUACUUCUAGACCUCUCGUCAUUUUCAUAUUCUGAGGUUGCAAGACUAUUAAUUUUUUUAUCAUUUAAACCAUGUAUCUGAAUAAGGAUUUUCUCAACAUUCACAACCAAAAAGCAAACAACCAAAACACAGUAAGUAUAAUGCUGAGGCUCUGAUGCUAACAAGAAGCCAUCCAUCAUACGUCAUUCCCAGUUUAAAACUGGUGUUUCAUUUACAUCAGCCCAAUUCUCUCAAUAUAUGUCUUUAUAAUCAGAAAAUAUCAUAAAUUUGAACUUGUAGAAUAUACAUAUGCCCAUAAAAUGCCAUUUUUAUGUUUUAUAUAUUGUUUUUUUUUUAAAGAUCUAUUUAUUUAUUUAUGAUAGACACAGUGAGGAGAGAGAGCGAGGUAGAGACACAGGAGGAGGGCGAAGCAGGCUCCAUGCCGGGAGCCCGACGUGGGACUCGAUCCUGGGACUCCAGGAUCACUCCCUGGCCAAAGGCAGGCGCCAAACCACUGAGCCACCCAGGGAUCCCCCUAUAUAUUGGUUUUACGUAAAACUUUAUUAGAAAAAGUUUGAAAAGAAUUGCUUUUAGAGCAACAGAGGGUAAGUACCAAUUCUCUUUCACACAAUGCCCUUAACAUAUUAAUAGCAACCUUAUUAGACCUGAGAGAGGCCUUGGUGUUUAUCUAGUUGAGCCAUUUAUUUUCAUUGAUUUGUUAGCCAAGGCCCAGAUUCAUCAAAUGAGUCUCAAGGUCAUAUACUUGAAUCAGAACAAAGCCAGAAGACCCUAGGGCUUUCCUACGGGGAGUGCUACCACAUGAAGGGCUCCAUCUUUGGGCUGAGCAAUUAAUUGUGACUCUCAAUUUACCCAAACAUUUGUUAAAGUGGCAUGAUGUCCCAUAAAGUCUUUUUCAGAUGUGAAAGCUAAGUCAAACUAUUGAUUUGUUUUUGAGAUUUAGCUUUUUUAUCUGUAAAAUAAGAGCAAGUAGUACCUAUCUUAUAGCUCUACUGGAAGAGAGCUUCUAUUAGAAAGUAUAUCACUUAUGUACAAUGUGAGGACCAUUGUUCUUUGGCUUUACAUGACUAAAUUUAGAUUUAUUACCUUCAGAUGUCAGCCUAUACUUCUAGAUCAGGGUUCAGCAAAGUAUGGUCCAUGGAUCAAAUCUGGCCUGACAUCUGUUUUUAUAAAUGUGGUUUUAUUGGAUCAUAGCCACACCGGUUCACUUAUGUAUUGUCAGGGCCUGCUUUGGGGGCUACAGCAGUAGAGGUGACUAGUUAUGACAAAGGUCAUAUGGACCAAAAGCCUAAAAUAUUUACUCCCUUGCUAUGUUCAGAAAAAAUUCUGUUGAUUUACGUUCUAGAUUGCUGAGAUAAGUUUUUAAAAGGAUUUUAUUUAUUUGAGAGAGAGAGAGAGAAGGAGGGGGGUAGGCAGAGGGAGAAGGAGACUCCCUGCUGAGGAGAGAGCCCAAUGUGGGGCUGACCCGAGGACCCGGAGAUCAUGACCUGAGCUGAAGACAGAUGCUUAACCAACUGAGCUACCCAGGUGUCCCUGCUGAGAUCAUUUUGAAACUACUCUUGAUUCUUUUAUCCUUAGUAUCAUCCAAUAUCUCUUUCACUGGGUCAGCCAUGGACUUGGCUCCAUUUAGGCUGUUCACAGAAAUGUUUAGUGAGACACAGGGAAGGAGAAGCCCAUGGCACACCAUGAGAGACCACCUUCAUAGCUGACAAUGAUUACCAUUCAUCUGAAGAAGUAUGAAUCCACUAAAUGAUACUAUCAGCCAGUUCUUAAUCAUCAACAAUGUUGUGUAUUUGUUAAAUGCCUUUCUAAUACGCAGAAGAUAGGGUACAGACCCCUUUUUUCCCCUCCCAAGUGGUUUCAAAUCUGUGUUGUUUCUGUACCCUUCAACUCCAUUUCAGCCCCAUUUUUUUGAAAUCUCAACUAGUCACCUAGCUACAGUUUUCUGGCAGAUCUACUAUUGUCUGUGUAGAGAUUGAUUAUUAUUAUUAAACCUGAUUAUUAUUCUUCCUAGGUGCACUAAAUUCCCCAGCUUUCUUUUCUUUUCUUUUUUCUUUUUUUAUUCAUAGAGAUGCAGAGAGAGAGAGAGAGGCAGAGACACAGGCAGAGGGAGAAGCAGGCUCCAUGCAGAGAGCCUGACGUGGGACUCGAUCCAGGGUCUCCAGAUCACGCCCCGGGCUGCAGGCGGCACUAAACCGCUGCGCCACCAGGGCUGCCCCCAGCUUUCUUUUCAAUCAGAGGUGGCCAAGUGACUAAGUUCUAGCCAAUGGAAGGAUUGCAAAAGUCAUGUGUGCUCCUUCCAGGCCUGGCCCACAAAAGCAUCCCAUUGGUAACCCUCCAUGGUCUUAUCCUUCUCACAGCCUGGAAGUUGAUGAGCAUGGAGACCUGAGAGGCCAUCUAUUAAAGAUGGCAAAAUCACAGCUAGAAAGAACCAGGGUCCCCGAAUCCAUCCUUAGAGGGGAGCCAUGCACCACUCCAAGAACACCGAUUUUGGACCUGAACGUGAAAUAAAUUUCUAUUGUAUUUAAAACAUUA